AUGCACAGCUCAGCACUGCUCUGUUGCCUGGUCCUCCUGACUGGGGUGAGGGCCAGCCCAGGCCAGGGCACCCAGUCUGAGAACAGCUGCACCCACUUCCCAGGCAACCUGCCUAACAUGCUUCGAGAUCUCCGAGAUGCCUUCAGCAGAGUGAAGACUUUCUUCAAAUGAAGGAUCAGCUGGACAACUUGUUGUUAAAGGAGUCCUUGCUGGAGGACUUUAAGGUUACCUGGGUUGCCAAGCCUUGUCUGAGAUGAUCCAGUUUUACCUGGAGGAGGUGAUGCCCCAAGCUGAGAACCAAGACCCAGACAUCAAGGCGCAUGUGAACUCCCUGGGGGAGAACCUGAAGACCCUCAGGCUGAGGCUACGGCGCUGCAUCGAUUUCUUCCCUGUGAAAACAAGAGCAAGGCCGUGGAGCAGGUGAAGAAUGCCUUUAAUAACUCCAAGAGAAAGGCAUCUACAAAGCCAUGAGUGAGUUUGACAUCUUCAUCAACUACAUAGAAGCCUACAUGACAAUGAAGAUACGAAA
rnacentral:lncRNA from 1 species